rnacentral:lncRNA from 1 species
CUUUACACCAUCAAGGGAAUGACUGGUUGGCAUCGGAUUUUUGGAUUUCUCGUAAGGUGGUUCGCAAUGUCCUCUAUUGCAUCGAUUGGUUCAAUAUCGAUAGAUCGUUUUUUAAUGGUCGCUUAUCCAAUAAAACAUCGCGUUUUGAUCAGGGGUAAAACUAUAGUCUUGUGGCUCGCAGCAAUUUGGAUAGCAAGCUGUGUACCUCCUCUAUUAAUAUUCUUCUCCCAUGG